ncrna:Cricetulus griseus (Chinese hamster) microRNA cgr-mir-532 precursor
UUUCUCUUUCAUGCCUUGAGUGUAGGACCGUUAACAUCCUAAUUACCCUCCCACACCCAAGGUUUGCAGGAGAGC